UUUCCAGCCUUUGAAUUUAGCGCACGGUGCUGCUGGGAGUUGUAGUCUCCGGUGCGGUCCAGCUCAUGGACUGCUUGUUGGGACCAGGCAGAGCGCAGGAGGGGAGACGGAGCGGAUCGGCGGCAGCGCUCUGUAGCGGCGGAAGCCGGGGAAGUCGCAGCGCUCGUUCUCCGCUUUAGCGCAUUGGCGGCUAUAGAAGAGACUCCGGAUCAUUUGUGGAAGAUCUGCAGACCAGCUGUGAGGACUCCAGCCCAACAGCUGACUGAUACCGCUGAGAGGUUUAUUGAUCUACUGGCUUGUUGCACAACGUGAAUCGCGCAAGUGCUGCAACGCGAGGAC